UACGUAGGCAGCGAGCGUUGUUCGGAGUUACUGGGCGUAAAGAGUGCGUAGGCGGUUCCGUAAGUUUGUUGUGAAAUCUCCCGGCUUAACUGGGAGGGUGCGGCGAAAACUGGGAGGCUUGAGGAUGGGAGAGGCAUGCGGAAUUCCUGGUGUAGCGGUGAAAUGCGUAGAUAUCAGGAGGAACACCUGCGGUGUAGACAGCAUGCUGGACCAUUUCUGACGCUGAGGCACGAAAGCGUGGGUAGCAAACAGG
rnacentral:rRNA from 1 species